rnacentral:lncRNA from 1 species
CCGCUCCCGCAGCAUAUGGAGGUUCCCAGGCUAGGGGUCCAAUCGGAGCUGUAGCCCCCCGCCUACGCCAGAGUCACAACAACGCAGGAUCCGAGCCGCGUCUGCGAUCUACACCACAGCUCACGGCAACGCCGGAUCAUUAACCCACUGAGCAAGGGCAGGAACUGAACCCGCAACCUCAUGGUUCCUAGUCGGAUUCGUUAACCACUGCGCCACGAAGGGAACUCCCCAUUCUUAGAUUCUAACCAGUCUGUCACUGUCAUUAUCUUCUGUCCUCAAAUAUUAAAUAUUUCCAAGAUCAAUUUCCUUUCCAACAAUCCCUUUCAGGCUAAACAGACCUCAACUUUUAAACUUCCUUUUUUAUUUUAAACUUCGAUUUUAAUCUCUUUAAACAUUUGUUUGCUAUUUGCUUAAAAGUUAUGAGUGAAAACAUUUCCCCUCCCCAACUGACAAUAUAUUUGGAGAACACCAACUUUUAGUUGGAAAUAUAAUGAAGGAGGAGGUCUAGUAAAUUUAUCUCCUCUCAACUGUAAGAUAAAGAGACUUUCCCAGGUUCAAACUAAAAAAUUAUAAAGGAUGCUUUUCCUAAGCCAGGGGGAAAAUGUGAUGUCCAGAAAUACACACUAUGUUCUUGUGCUCUUAUGUUCAUAAACUAACUUCUGAUGACCAAAGGGGCCUAUCAGUUGCCUUCUGAUACACGGCCACAGGUGCCCUAACCUCUAGAACUCUAAAUCAAUAAACUGGCAUUUGGCUGUGAGCCACACGGCAAGUCCAAUACACUGGCAUUUUGAUCAGCAUAUUAACCUUCCACUACUUUCAUUACCAUUAGUGGCUUCUGAAGUUAACUCAGAUUCUGAAAAAAAUCAAGUUCCUAAAAAACUUAGGUUCUGACAAAAUCAAGUGUAAGUUCUAACUCCUACCAACCUCCAAAGUCAACCGUAUUUGAACAGCCAAUCUGCCCCUCUCCAGAACUUCCCUCUCUCCACAUGAAUUCCAGCUCUUAAGCCAUUUUACUCCUUUAUCUAAAACAGACCCUGAUGCAACAUGAGCUACGAGGUGAUGCUAAUGAAAACUUCACUAUGAAAAGAUGCAUUCCAAAUUUGACUUUAUUCUUCAUGUUAUUUAGAAGUGCAAGGGCUGAGGAUCUUGCAACUUUUAGAGCCAAUUCCUAAUUUUCUACUGGGCUUGCUGUGUUGGUCACAGGCUUGCCUUGGUGGUGACACCACACCAUUUAAUCCCUGGAGACACUGGAGCUUUCUCUUGUUUUGCUGCUUGUCAUUUCUUUGGCCUCUCACCCAUGGCCCAGAUAACCUGUAGGUUUUCUUUCUGACCUGCAUUCCCAGAGAAUGAUCUAAUAUAGGUUGAGAAACAGAGAUGUUCACCAGGGACAUGUUAGAACUCGUGCAAGCAUAUAGUUUUCCGGGUUCCAUUAAGGAAAAGAUAUUAUUCAAGUAUUUUCUGCCACUUGUCCUCUGGCCCCUAUUUUCAAAGACAAAGUAAGGCUAAGGUCUUACAAAAUGAAUCAUAAGCCUCUGGACUAGAUGGUUUUCAGGAAAAUAAACCACGUUCUCAUUCUACUCAGCUCCAAAGAUAAAUGAGCCUUUAUGAAAUCACCACUUGUCAAAUUUUAGUGAAGUAAUCAAAGAAUAUUAACACUUAUCUGAAAAGGCUAUUAAAAUACUUUCUUCUCCUACUACAUACAUAUAUGAAGUCCGGUUUUCUUCAUAUACUUCAACCAAAAUAAUGUACUGCCACACACUGUAUGCAGAAGUAGAUAGGAGUUCAGAUGUCUUAUGCAGUUUUUAAAACGUAGAAGCACUCUUUUAAAUAAAAAUGCUAUGCUGACAUGUAAUGAGUUCAUUAUUUAUUACUUCACUUGGAAAUAACAUCAUUAGUAUUUAAUUUCUAAUGCAAUAAAUAUAAAACUCAUAAAGAAAAGCUCUCUGGCAGGGGGAGGACUCCACAAUUUUUUUAAAUGUAAAAACAUUCCAAGACCAAAAAGUCUGAGAUCUGCAGUCCUAGAAAAACCCAACUUACCAAAACUAACUAAAAAAAGAACCAGAAAUCUAAAUAGUCCUUUAGAAACUUAUCAUUAAAGGUUUCUUCCUAAAGAUCAUCCAAUGUCAAGGUUAUUUCACUGGUGAAUUUUUUUUUUCCCCAAAAAGUUAAGGAAGUAAGUAAUUUACAUGAAGAAAAGUAGAAGCAUGACGAGAUGUAAGGCAGCCCCCGAGACUGGGGUGGGGCUAUAUCCAGCUCAGAGUCUCAGUUUCUGCCGACUUCCUGGUGUAGAUCUGCUAUAGAUGCAUACUAAAAGAAACGCCUUAUUCCAUAGGUGAGCUGUCUCUGUAUCUUGAAAACAACACAUGCAGUUGCUGAAAAGCUAUGUAUAGACCUGUUGCAGACCUUGAGGUCAGUACCUUCGCACACACUGUACAGCAACCUUACAGUUUUUGGUGGGGACCUGCGUUCAAGGCUAAUCUCUGAUUUGUCUGAGCCAAUCAUGGUGAUUGUUCUGGUCAGUGACUGGUUGAGAAAAUCAGGACUCAAGAUGACUGGUUCAGGGUCUUGCGUAUGUCAAAUCUUACAUUAAUGAGAUGCAAGGAGAAACACACUCAGGCUUCUGGGAGAUUUUCCAACUCAAGAGAGGUAACAGGAAGUGUUUUGUUUUCUUCUGAAUGAUGAUGUGUAAGGAAUGAGGUCUAGAAACAGACAUUUAGUUUCAGUCUGAAAAGAAAGCCAGUGUACAUAGGAGGGCAGAGGUGAGAAAAUUCCAGAUACAUGGAGCUGGAGUAACAUGAAUAAACCAACCCUGAAAGCCCAGCUUACCUUUCAUCUUAUAGUGAGCCCAUCUCCUGUUUCAGCAACUUUGAGUUGGGUUUUUCUUUUCUUGCAACUGUAAGCAUCCCAAGGAAAUUAGUAGUUUAGAAUUUACAAUUUAAAGAAACAAUUGUACAAAAAGUCACUCUCAAACUGAUAAGCUAGACAAAACUGCAUUUUGUCUAAAGAAAGGUAGCUUCACUGUUGAGUUCCUACUGGCACCUAAUGUAUUAUUAACCGAUAAACAACUGAGAAGUGGUGAGGGUAUACACAUGAGAGAAAACCCAUGAAGAGCAUUAAAAGCACAGGAAGCAAGCACUACUUUGUACCUGCUUAAAUGCAGUGCUAUCCCGUGAUGCUGACUAUUUAUGAAGACAAGUCAAGAGUACUUAUGUGCUUCAUGAUGGGACUAGAGACCUGGAGUAACCUUAGAUGGGCCAGUUAGUAUGUACUCAGACAAAGUUCUUGGGAGCAGAAAGGAACCCUGGACUGAAGGAUGACUUUUCCCUUGGGGAACAGUUUCCUGGGCCCUGAGACUGAAUGGUUUCUUAAGAAGCUUUUAGACAAGAUGGAUUCAAUCUCUAGCCUCUUGCUGUUAAUAUAUGUCCUGAGAAAUUACAGAGCAAUUCAGGGAUCUCCUGGUACCAAAUUACAUUUUCCCCAGUAUGAAGUUCAAUUAUAUCUAGUUUCCUUUAAUAAACACAUAUGAAUGAGGCAAAAAGAAAAUAAGACAAAUAUUUUGUAGAGUUAGCGCCAAAUGAAUACCCCCAAAGCCACCAUUUGGUCAUGUCCUUACUUCACAAGGUGCUUUUGACCUUUCCCAGAGGAAAAGCCACCCACAUGGUGAGAUUCACUGGCCAGAGGUCCACAAAAUAUUUCUGGAUCUGUUAGGAGACUCUCUGGCUCUAAAAUGAAUGCAGUUUACUUACACAGAAAAUCUCUUUCCUUGAAGAUGUAUUUCAUUUAACCAGGAUGUUUCCUGUCACCGGAAAGAAAUACCAUCCUUUAAGACUAAAUACAAUUCGGAGUUCCUGCUGUGCCUCAGCGGUAAUGAACCCAAGUAGGAUCCAUGAGGAUAUGGGUUUGAUCCGGAGCCUCACUCAGUGGAUUAAGGACGCUGUGUUGCAGUGAGCUGUAGCGCAGGUUGGAGAUGCAGCCUGGAUUAUGCGUUGCUGUGGCUAUGAUGUAGGUGGGCAGUUACAGCUCUGAUUCGACCCCUAGUCUGGGAACCUACAUGUGCUGUAGGUGUGGCCCUAAAUAGACAAAUACAAAUAAUAAUAAAAGACUAAACACAACCCUUUCCAGUUGUACCACUGUGAUCAGGGGCAAGAAGACAGCAAACUGUUUGGGAUUUUGAUGCAGAGGAUACAUAAUCUGCACCCUGCUCGUCCUGGUUGUUACUUACAGUUAAAAUGAUUCACUAAAGGCUUAAUAAGUGACUCCGUCAAGAGCACAUGCAUUCCCACUGUAGGUCAGCUUGCAUUCUCUUCAGGUAUUACACAAGAAGUCAGCAAUUAGUACACACCCCAAGUUAGAUUUGCCUGAUUUUGAUGACCAUAACCUGAUGUUCUUUCCAUUUUCUGUACCGUAAUUUAGUGUAAGAGUGAACAUGUAUACAUUUUCAUCAUCCUACAUGUUCCGUCCAAUAUUGUAUCAUUAAUAGGACACAUUCAGAUAAGUUCAGAAGAUGUAAACUACCACCUUUCUGCCAAGUGUGAAAAGACAUCCUUUUAUUAUGAAAUACACACAUUUCUAUUAUAAGCUGAAUCUCGUUUGUAGGAUAAAGCUUCUGUUUAAAAAGACUAUUUCAGAACCAAGUACAUGUUUUGAAAAUAUGCUAUGCAGAGCUUAAUAUGGUAAACUAAUUUUUCUUAAUCUGACAAAAAUGGACAGAAGGUAAAAUGAAAAAAAUUUUAUUUCCUCAGUGUUUUAUCCACUGUCAAUACUGUAUAUUUGAUGCAAUAUAUUUGCAAAGAAAAAACAAUCUCAGCUUUUAUUCUCCACUUUAAACAACUACAAUAUUUACAGGCUGUUUAGAAUAACAAACACUCAGACGCGCGCGCACACACACACUCACAGACACACGUGAGUACAUAUAUUCUUAUCUCUGGUUUAUACUGAAUGCUGGUAGAGGCAAUGAAUACUUUCAGAGCCCAUGGUCAGAAGAGUGAAACCCAUUUCCUUCCUCCCACCUACCUUCCUAGAAUUAUCUCAGUAUUCUUUCUUCCAUUUUCUCAUGCAGAGCUCAUUGCCAGACUUGUACAGGGUUAAGAUUAUCAUUCUUUACAUUUUAUUUAAACUAUAAUAAGCUUUAAAAAAGCAUAAGCAGACAUGAUUUCCCCCGCAUUUCUAUUAUUUUGGUUGUAGAAUCAAGCUUCGUGUAUAAAAAAAAUCCUGUUUAACCACAAUUACACUAAAUCCAAGAGCCAUCUGGAGCAGCCAUCUCACUCUCUACCGCCACUCCCUUUUGAAGUCCAGGGUACCACCACCCAUCUGUGCAAAUAACAGGCAGGGAUUCGUCCAAAUCACAGUCUUAGAUGACCU